UCUAAUACCGGAUACGACCCGCCUCCGCAUGGGGGUGGGUGGAAAGCUCCGGCGGUGAAGGAUGAGCCCGCGGCCUAUCAGCUUGUUGGUGGGGUAACGGCCCACCAAGGCGACGACGGG
rnacentral:rRNA from 1 species